ACCUGGCUGGCUCAGUCGGUAGAGCAUGUGACUCUUGAUUUUGGGGUCGUGAGUUUGAGCCCACGCUGGGUG
rnacentral:tRNA from 1 species